rnacentral:misc_RNA from 1 species
GAUGAAGAACUUAGCGAAAUGCGAUAAGUAGUGUGAAUUGCAGAAUUCCGUGAAUCAUCGAAUCUUUGAACGCACAUUGCGCCUUCUGGUAUUCCGGAAGGCAUGCCUGUUCGAGAGUCAUUAACAACCGUUUCGAUCCCUUUCUUUCAGAAAUUACAAAGAGGAAAAGGGUUUGGUUAUGGUGGAGGAGGGAAAGGGAGCGUUUAGCCUGUAAAAAAAGAGGCUGUGUUCCGCCUCCCCCCCAAAAUUGUACAGGCGGUCGUGUGCGCCCACGCAUCGAGGUGUUGUAAAAGCUGCCACGGCACUUUUCACCUGUGCAGUGCGAGAUUGGCCAGCCGGUUUAAAAACCCCUCCAAACAAUCAAAGGUUGACCUCGGAUCAGGUAGGGAUACCCGCUGAACUUAAGCAUAUCAAUAAGCGGAGGA